rnacentral:rRNA from 1 species
CUUAACCUUCGGGAGGGCGCUUACCACUUUGUGAUUCAUGACUGGGGUGAAGUCGUAACAAGGUAACCGUAGGGGAACCUGCGGUUGGAUCACCUCCUUAACCUGAAGAUAC